rnacentral:tRNA from 1 species
GGGGGUAUAGCUCAUUGGUAGAGCAUUCGUCUGCAGAUCGAAAUGCCCCCAGUUCAAACCUGGGUGCCCCCU